rnacentral:rRNA from 1 species
UUUGUGUAAGUUUUUAAGGGCGCAUGGUGGAUGCCUUGGCAUCAGGAACCGAUGAAGGACGUAGGAAUCUGCGAUAAGCCUCGGGGAGCCGAUAACCGGGCUGUGAUCCGAGGGUUUCCGAAUGGGGGAACCCCGCACCAGUUAUGUGGUGUGACCCGUACCUGAAUAUAUAGGGUGCGUGGAGGGAACGUGGGGAAGUGAAACAUCUCAGUACCCACAGGAAGAGAAAACAAGAGUGAUUCCGUGAGUAGUGGCGAGCGAAAGCGGAUGAGGCUAAACCAUGGUUGUGUGAUACCUGUCAGGGGUUGCAGUCAUGGGGUUGUGGGUUGUUGUCGUACCGUGUCUGACAGCGCGGUCGUGUGAUGGUGUGCGUGUAGCCGAACUGCUUUGAAUGGUAGACCGUAGUGGGUGGGAGUCCCGUAGGCGAAACAUGUAACACAGCGCGUGAUGAUGUACCCAAGUAGCACGGGGCUCGUGGAAUCUCGUGUGAAUCUGCCAGGACCACCUGGUAAGCCUAAAUAUUCCCUGAUGACCGAUAGCGGACUAGUACCGUGAGGGAAAGGUGAAAAGUACCCCGGGAGGGGAGUGAAAUAGUACCUGAAACCAUGCGCUUACAAUCCGUCAGAGCUGGCAUGCGUGCUGGUGAUGGCGUGCCUUUUGAAGAAUGAGCCUGCGAGUUAGUGCUCAGUGGCGAGGUUAACCCGUGUGGGGUAGCCGUAGCGAAAGCGAGUCCGAAGAGGGCGCCCGAAGUCGCUGGGUCUAGACCCGAAGCGGAGUGAUCUACCCAUGGCCAGGUUGAAGCGACGGUAAGACGUCGUGGAGGACCGAACCCACCUAGGUUGAAAACUGGGGGGAUGAGCUGUGGGUAGGGGUGAAAGGCCAAUCAAACUCCGUGAUAGCUGGUUCUCCCCGAAAUGCAUUUAGGUGCAGCGUCACGUGUUUCUUGCCGGAGGUAGAGCUACUGGAUGGCUGAUGGGCCUCACCAGGUUACUGACGUCAGCCAAACUCCGAAUGCCGGUAAGUGUAAGCGUGGCAGUGAGACUGCGGGGGAUAAGCUUCGUAGUCGAGAGGGAAACAGCCCAGAUCACCAGCUAAGGUCCCUAAGCGUGUGCUAAGUGGGAAAGGAUGUGGAGUUGCUGUGACAACCAGGAGGUUGGCUUAGAAGCAGCCACCCUUUAAAGAGUGCGUAAUAGCUCACUGGUCAAGUGAUUCCGCGCCGACAAUGUAGCGGGGCUCAAGCACACCACCGAAGCUGUGGCAAUCACACAAGUCCCUAGCGGCCCUUUUUGGGGGUUGUUCAGGGGUGUGGUUGGGUAGGGGAGCGUCGUGUCACCAGUGAAGUCCCGGUGUGAACCAGGGGUGGAGGUGACACGAGUGAGAAUGCAGGCAUGAGUAGCGAAUGACGGGUGAGAAACCCGUCCGCCGAAUAACCAAGGGUUCCAGGGUCAAGCUAAUCUGCCCUGGGUAAGUCGGGACCUAAGGCGAGGCCGACAGGCGUAGUCGAUGGACAUCCGGUUGAUAUUCCGGAACCGGCGAAGGACCGCCCAUAUCGAAUCAGGGGAUGCUAACCACCCGAACCGCCAUGUUUGAUCCCUUCGGGGUGAUGCGUGUGUGGGGAGCGUGGGACCCGAUCUUGUAGUAGGUAAGCAAUGGAGUGACGCAGGAAGGUAGCCUCCGCGGGGCGAUGGUUGUCCCCGUCCAAGCGUGUAAGCCGACUGGUAGGUAAAUCCGUCAGUCAUAUGGCCAAGGCGUGAUGGUGACCACGUAAUGUGGGAAGUAGGGUGAUCCUAUGCUGCCGAGAAAAACUUCUAGCGAGGUCCGAGCCGCCCGUACCCUAAACCGACUCAGGUGGUUAGGUAGAGAAUACUAAGGCGAUCGAGUGAAUCGUGGUUAAGGAAUUCGGCAAAAUGCCCCCGUAACUUCGGGAGAAGGGGGGCCCACCAUCUUGAAGCACUUCGCGUGCUAGGGGUGGGGGCCGCAGAGACCAGGGAGAAGCGACUGUUUACUAAAAACACAGGUCCGUGCGAAGAAGUAAUUCGAUGUAUACGGACUGACGCCUGCCCGGUGCUGGAACGUUAAGGGGACCGGUUAACAUCCUUGUGGUGUGAAGCUGAGAACUUAAGCGCCAGUAAACGGCGGUGGUAACUAUAACCAUCCUAAGGUAGCGAAAUUCCUUGUCGGGUAAGUUCCGACCUGCACGAAUGGCGUAACGACUUCUCCACUGUCUCAACCGCGAACUCGGCGAAAUUGCAUUACGAGUAAAGAUGCUCGUUACGCGCAGCAGGACGGAAAGACCCCGGGACCUUUACUACAGCUUGGUAUUGGUGUUCGGUACGGCUUGUGUAGGAUAGGUGGGAGACUGUGAAGCGCACGCGCCAGCGUG